rnacentral:rRNA from 1 species
CCAAUUUUGCCAGACGCGCAUCGGCAAAACCUUUACGCUUGAGCUGACGCAGGAAGUCGGCGUUGAGGCCAGUAAUCCCGACUUCAGCCACUUUCUCUUCCAGACGCACCAGCUCUUCAAUUUGCACCAGGAACCAGCGGUCGAUGUUGGUCAGGUUAAAGACGCCAUCGACGGAGAGGCCUGCGCGGAAAGCAUCGGCGAUGUACCAGAUACGAUCUGCGCCCGCGUCUUUCAGCUCGCGGCGGAUUUUGGUCAGCGCUUCCGGGUCGUCGAGGCUCACUUUCGGGUCAAAACCGGUGGCGCCGACUUCCAGGCCGCGCAGCGCUUUUUGCAGGGAUUCCUGCUGCGUGCGGCCAAUCGCCAUCACUUCUCCGACCGAUUUCAUCUGGGUGGUCAGACGGUCGUUGGCACCGGCGAAUUUCUCAAAGUUAAAGCGCGGAAUUUUAGUAACCACAUAGUCGAUGGACGGCUCGAAGGAGGCCGGAGUGCGCCCGCCGGUGAUGUCGUUCAUCAGUUCGUCAAGGGUGUAACCUACCGCCAGUUUGGCGGCCACUUUGGCAAUCGGGAAACCGGUGGCUUUCGACGCCAGCGCCGAGGAGCGGGAUACGCGCGGGUUCAUUUCGAUAACGAUCAGACGGCCGUUUUUCGGGUUCACUGCGAACUGGACGUUAGAACCGCCGGUUUCGACGCCGAUUUCACGCAGUACCGCCAUCGAGGCGUUACGCAUGAUUUGGUAUUCUUUGUCGGUCAGCGUCUGUGCCGGGGCCACGGUGAUGGAGUCACCGGUGUGGAUACCCAUCGCAUCGAAGUUUUCGAUAGAGCAGACGAUGAUGCAGUUGUCGUUUUUAUCACGCACCACUUCCAUCUCGUACUCUUUCCAGCCGAUCAGCGAUUCAUCAAUCAGCAGCUCGUUGGUUGGCGAGAGGUCCAGACCGCGUUCGCAGAUUUCUUCGAACUCUUCACGGUUGUAAGCGAUACCGCCGCCGGUGCCGCCCAUGGUAAAGCUAGGCCGGAUGAUGCACGGGAAGCCCACGUCAGCGGCAACCGCCAGCGCUUCUUCCAUAGUGUGCGCGAUACCGGAACGCGCGGUGUCGAGACCAAUUUUCUUCAUCGCGAUAUCGAAGCGACGACGGUCUUCGGCUUUAUCAAUGGCGUCGGCGGUCGCACCAAUCAUGGUGACGCCGAACUCUUCCAGCACGCCCUGCCGCUCCAGCUCCAGCGCGCAGUUCAGCGCGGUCUGGCCGCCCAUGGUCGGCAGCACCGCAUCCGGACGCUCUUUUUCAAUGAUUUUGCGCACCACUUCCCAGUGAAUCGGCUCGAUGUAGGUGGCAUCGGCCAUUUCCGGGUCGGUCAUGAUGGUGGCCGGGUUGGAGUUCACCAGAAUGACGCGAUAGCCCUCUUCGCGCAGGGCUUUACACGCCUGAGCGCCGGAGUAGUCAAACUCACACGCCUGACCGAUAACAAUCGGGCCCGCGCCCAGAAUCAGGAUGCUUUUUAUAUCUGUACGUUUUGGCAUGGCUCUUAUUACUCCUGAUUAUUUCGCGGACUGACGGUAUUGCUCAAUAAGCUCGAUAAAGUGGUCGAACAGCGGCGCCGCAUCGUGCGGGCCGGGGCUCGCCUCCGGGUGGCCCUGGAAGCUGAACGCCGGUUUGUCGGUACGGUGAAUCCCUUGCAGGGUGCCGUCGAACAGCGACUUGUGGGUCACGCGCAGGUUGGCGGGCAGCGAGUCUUCAUCCACCGCAAAGCCGUGGUUCUGCGCGGUGAUCAUUACCACGUUUCUGUCCAUAUCUUUUACCGGAUGGUUGCCGCCGUGAUGGCCGAACUUCAUCUUAACGGUCUUCGCACCGCUCGCCAGCGCCAGUAGCUGAUGACCGAGGCAGAUGCCAAAUAGCGGAAUGUCGGUUUCGAGGAAUUUCUGGAUAGCAGUAAUCGCGUAGUCGCACGGAGCCGGGUCGCCAGGGCCGUUUGACAGGAAGAUGCCGUCCGGAUUCAUUUUCAGCACCUCUUCAGCAGAGGUUUGCGCUGGCACCACCGUCAGGCGGCAGCCGCGAUCCACCAGCAUACGCAGGAUGUUGCGCUUCGCGCCGAAAUCAUAGGCCACCACAUGGAACGGCAGGUCAUCCUCAGAUUUCGCUUCCGGUAAACCGUCUUUCAGCGUCCAGCUACCCUGCGUCCAGCGGUAAGUUUCCGCCGUGGUCACUUCUUUCGCCAGAUCCAUACCGUUAAGUCCAGGAAAUGCUUUCGCUUUUUCCAGCGCCAGCUUCGCAUCCGGGCUAUCGCCUGCAAUGAUGCAGCCGUUCUGUGCGCCUUUCUCACGCAGCAGUCGGGUCAGCUUGCGGGUAUCGAUAUCAGCAAUCGCCACAAUGUUAUGCCGUUUGAGGUAAGAAGAGAGGUCUUCGGUGUUACGGAAGUUGCUGGCAAUCAACGGCAGAUCGCGAAUCACUAAACCUUGCGCAUGAACCUGAGAGGAUUCUUCAUCGGCUUUAUUGGUGCCGACAUUACCAAUAUGGGGAUAAGUAAGAGUGACGAUUUGGCGGGAAUAGGAAGGAUCAGUGAGGAUUUCUUGAUAACCGGUCAUUGAAGUAUUGAAAACGACUUCCCCAACCGCCGAACCCGUUGCCCCAAUGGCCCGACCGUGAAACUGGGUUCCGUCUUCCAGAACCAAUAGCGCUGACUUAAUCAAAACACCCUCCAGAGAAUAUUCACUCACUUUAUUUGCAUAUUAAUUCAUUCAGUCAGUAUGAAGCAAUGCAAAUUUGCUUACCCGUGGAUUUCUGGCAAACGGCGGCAUUCUGAAGUUAAGCCGGAUAAAAGUCAACUUAAAGAGGGUGUUUUUUAUGUUAUUUUGCACAUUAUAAGGAAGUUAUUCUGUUUAAGAGGCAAAAAGAUCAACUAAGUUACGAUAGAAAACGCUUGCGCUUCCUUGAGUUCGCAAAAAACUGGCUGGCAUGAUAAAAAGUGGACCAAAUGGUCAAACUUGACAUUAAAACAACAAAAAACAACGAUAAAAACUCACUUAAUAGCCAUCAAUGCCAUUAAAUGCAUAAAAAUUCAAAAUCAAGAAAGUUAACGACAAAAAAAUUUUAAAAAUCAAUAUAUUAAAAAUAUAAAAAACAAAUCAAAUGCAUCAUAAAAUCAACAAAAAACAGCAAAUUAAGACAAUGUAAUAAGAAUUACAAUCGCGAUAUAAAGAUCCAGCUUCUUUUUCUUUAAGACAGGCACAUACGAUUGGACCACAACCAGCCUCACUACANNNNNCCUGAUCGAAGCCCCGGUAAACGGCGGCCGUAACUAUAACGGUCCUAAGGUAGCGAAAUUCCUUGUCGGGUAAGUUCCGACCUGCACGAAUGGCGUAAUGAUGGCCAGGCUGUCUCCACCCGAGACUCAGUGAAAUUGAACUCGCUGUGAAGAUGCAGUGUACCCGCGGCAAGACGGAAAGACCCCGUGAACCUUUACUAUAGCUUGACACUGAACAUUGAGCCUUGAUGUGUAGGAUAGGUGGGAGGCUUUGAAGUGUGGACGCCAGUCUGCAUGGAGCCGACCUUGAAAUACCACCCUUUAAUGUUUGAUGUUCUAACGUGGACCCGUAAUCCGGGUUGCGGACAGUGUCUGGUGGGUAGUUUGACUGGGGCGGUCUCCUCCUAAAGAGUAACGGAGGAGCACGAAGGUUGGCUAAUCCUGGUCGGACAUCAGGAGGUUAGUGCAAUGGCAUAAGCCAGCUUGACUGCGAGCGUGACGGCGCGAGCAGGUGCGAAAGCAGGUCAUAGUGAUCCGGUGGUUCUGAAUGGAAGGGCCAUCGCUCAACGGAUAAAAGGUACUCCGGGGAUAACAGGCUGAUACCGCCCAAGAGUUCAUAUCGACGGCGGUGUUUGGCACCUCGAUGUCGGCUCAUCACAUCCUGGGGCUGAAGUAGGUCCCAAGGGUAUGGCUGUUCGCCAUUUAAAGUGGUACGCGAGCUGGGUUUAGAACGUCGUGAGACAGUUCGGUCCCUAUCUGCCGUGGGCGCUGGAGAACUGAGGGGGGCUGCUCCUAGUACGAGAGGACCGGAGUGGACGCAUCACUGGUGUUCGGGUUGUCAUGCCAAUGGCACUGCCCGGUAGCUAAAUGCGGAAGAGAUAAGUGCUGAAAGCAUCUAAGCACGAAACUUGCCCCGAGAUGAGUUCUCCCUGAGACUUAGAGUCUCCUGAAGGAACGUUGAAGACGACGACGUUGAUAGGCCGGGUGUGUAAGCGCAGCGAUGCGUUGAGCUAACCGGUACUAAUGAACCGUGAGGCUUAACCUU